UCAGACGAUGCGUCAUGCAUAUCAAUAAGCGGAGGAAAAGAAACUAACAAGGAUUCCCUUAGUAACGGCGAGUGAAGCGGGAAGAGCUCAAAUUUGAAAUCUUCAAGGUUUUACCUUGACGAAUUGUAGUUUAAAGAAGUGUUUUCUGUUAGAGAGUAGUAAAAGUUCUUUGGAAUAGGACAUCAUAGAGGGUGAGAAUCCCGUAUUUGACCAUUAUUUUCAGCUGUGUGAUACACUUUCAAAGAGUCGGAUUGUUUGGGAAUGCAGUCCAAAAUGGGUGGUAAAUUUCAUCUAAAGCUAAAUAUUGGCGAGAGACCGAUAGCGAACAAGUACCGCUGAGGGAAAGAUGAAAAGAACUUUGAAAAGAGAGUUAAACAGUACGUGAAAUUGUCAAAAGGGAAGCGUUUGACACCAGUGUUGUUUUCUCGAAAAUCAAUUAAAAAGAGUUGGAUUUUGUGUUGUAUUGACCUUAACAGCUUGCUUCACUCUUUUCCUGCUUUUUUUAAUGCACUUUUCGUUUAACAAGUCAACAUCAGUUUCUUUUGUUGUAAAAGGGUCAUUGGAAGGUGGCUUUCUCUUCGGAGAAAGUGUUUAUAGCCUUUGAUCUCUGCAAUCGGAGAGACUGAGGUCUGCAGCGUAGAUCCUUCGGGGUUAGAUACAUUUGUGCUAAGCUACAGCUUUUCAUAGACAACUUGUUGACUAUGUUUAGUCUUGUAACUUACCCGCUUAUGCUAUUUUACCUACGCUUAGGAUGUUGAUAUGCAUGACUGAUAU
rnacentral:rRNA from 1 species